AACUGAUACUACCUGCGGGAACCUGCGGAAGGAUCAUUACCGAGUUAUCAACUCCCAAACCCCUGUGAACAUACCCGAACGUUGCCUCGGCGGGACCGCCCCGGCGCCCCUAGCGGCCCGGAACCAGGCGCCCGCCGGAGGACCCAAACUCUUGCUUUAAACAGUGGCAUACUCUCUGAGUCUCACAAACAAAAAAUAAAUCAAAACUUUCAACAACGGAUCUCUAGAUCGGAAGAGCAC
rnacentral:misc_RNA from 1 species